rnacentral:rRNA from 1 species
AGUGAACGCUGGCGGCGUGCCUAAUACAUGCAAGUCGAACGGAGAGGCGCAGGGGUGAGUAGUAUAUAGCUAAUCUGCCCCUUGCUGGAGGACUACAGUUAGAAAUGACUGCUAAUAAUCCAUAGCAAGGGCUGAGACUCUAGCGUAUCAGCUAGUCGGUGGGGUGACGGCCUACCGCUGCUAUGACGCGUACCUGGUCUGAGAGGAUGAUCAGUCACCUUGGAACUGAGACACGGUCCCACAUCCUACGGGAGGCUGCCGUAGGUAAUACAGCGCCAUGGGGGAAACCCUGCCGCCGCAACGCCGCGGGGAGGAGGACACGUUUCGGAGCGUAAACUCCUUUUGUUCGUGAAGCGGGACCUAACGAAUAAGCACCGGCUAACUCCGUGCCAGCCGCCGCGGAAAUU